UGCGCGUGCGGGAUGAAGGCCUUCGGGUGUAACCGCUGUCGAGGGGGAGCAACUUCCAUAGAGUUAUCUUUAGUGGAUUGAGUGAUCCCUGGAGGAAGGACGGGCUAAGUUCGUGCCAGCAGCCGCGGUAAGACGAACCGUCCAAACGUUAUUCGGUAUCACUGGGCUUAAAGAGUUCGUAGGCGGCUAAACAGGUGAGGUGUGAAAGCCCUCGGCUCAACCGAGGAACUGCGCUUCAAACCGUUUAGCUAGAGGAAGACAGAGGUGAGCGGAACUGAUGGUGGAGCGGUGAAAUGCGUUGAUAUCAUCAGGAACACCGGUGGCGAAAGCGGCUCACUGGGUCUUUUCUGACGCUGAGGAACGAAAGCUAGGGGAGCGAACGGGAUUAGAUACCCCGGUAGUCCUAGCCGUAAACGAUGAGCACUAGACUGUGGGGACCCUCACAUCCUCUCGGUCGUAGCGAAAGUGUUAAGUGCUCCGCCUGGGGGAGUAUGGUCGCAAGGCUGAAACUCAAAGGAAUUGACGGG
rnacentral:rRNA from 1 species